rnacentral:rRNA from 1 species
GACGAACGCUGGCGGCGUGCUUAACACAUGCAAGUCGAACGGGCCCGCUCUCUUUUUUGGGGGUGGGUUGAGUGGCGAACGGGUGAGUAUCCCGUGAGUAACCUGCCCCCUGCUCCUGGAUAACUGCUUGAAAGGGCGGCUAAUACGGGGUGUGCCGGCUGGUCCGCAUGGGCCUGGUCGGGAUGGUUUCCUCUUCGGGUGUUUCGGUUGGGGAUGGGCUCGGUGCCUAUCAGCUUGUUGGGGGGGUGUUGGCCCACCAAGGCGGUGACGGGUAGCCGGCCUGAGAGGGUGGGCGGCCACACUGGGACUGAGACACGGGCCAGACUCCUGCGGGAGGCAGCAGUGGGGGGUAUUGCACAAUGGGCGGAAGCCUGAUGCAGCGACGUCGCGUGAGGGAUGGAGGCCUUCGGGUUGUGAACCUCUUUCUCCGGUGGUGAAGGCCCUGUCCGUUGCGGCGGGGUUGACGGUAGCCGGGGAUGAAGCGCCGGCUAACUACGUG